rnacentral:piRNA from 1 species
UGAGAUACUCUUAGGAUCAUUUCCCUCACU